rnacentral:rRNA from 1 species
AUUGAACGCUGGCGGCAGGCCUAACACAUGCAAGUCGAGCGGAUGAGUGGAGCUUGCUCCAUGAUUCAGCGGCGGACGGGUGAGUAAUACCUAGGAAUCUGCCUGGUAGUGGGGGACAACGUUUCGAAAGGAACGCUAAUACCGCAUACGUCCUACGGGAGAAAGCAGGGGACCUUCGGGCCUUGCGCUAUCAGAUGAGCCUAGGUCGGAUUAGCUAGUAGGUGAGGUAAUGGCUCACCUAGGCGACGAUCCGUAACUGGUCUGAGAGGAUGAUCAGUCACACUGGAACUGAGACACGGUCCAGACUCCUACGGGAGGCAGCAGUGGGGAAUAUUGGACAAUGGGCGAAAGCCUGAUCCAGCCAUGCCACGUGUGUGAAGAAGGUCUUCGGAUUGUAAAGCACUUUAAGUUGGGAGGAAGGGCAGUAAGUUCAUACCUUGCUGUUUUGACGUUACCAACAGAAUAAGCACCGGCUAACUACGUGCCAGCAGCCGCGGUAAGAC